GACGAACGCUGGCGGCGUGCUUAACACAUGCAAGUCGAACGGAAAGGCCCUGCUUUUGUGGGGUGCUCGAGUGGCGAACGGGUGAGUAACACGUGAGUAACCUGCCCUUGACUUUGGGAUAACUUCAGGAAACUGGGGCUAAUACCGGAUAGGAGCUCCUGCUGCAUGGUGGGGGUUGGAAAGUUUCGGCGGUUGGGGAUGGACUCGCGGCUUAUCAGCUUGUUGGUGUGGUAGUGGCUUACCAAGGCUUUGACGGGUAGCCGGCCUGAGAGGGUGACCGGCCACGUUAGGACUGAGAUGAGACCCAGACCACUACCGGACGCGACGGAGGAGAGUAUUACACAAUAGGCGGAAGGCUGGUGCAACCACGCCGCGUGGCGGAAGACGGCAUUCCGGUUGUGAAGCGAAUUCGCCUGUGACGAAGCGUGAGUGACGGUAAUGGGUAAAGAAGCACCGGCUAACUACGUG
rnacentral:rRNA from 1 species